rnacentral:rRNA from 1 species
AGAGUUUGAUCAUGGCUCAGAAUCAACGCUGGCGGCGCGCUUAACACAUGCAAGUCGCACGAGAAAGGGGCAACCUGAGUAAAGUGGCGUACGGGUGAGUAACACGUGGAUAAUCUACCUUUUAGUGGGGAAUACCUCCGGGAAACUGGAGACAAUACCGCAUAAUCUCGUAAGAGGAAAGCAGCAAUGCGCUGAAAGAG